CUUGAGAGUGUCCUCGUACUGCUUCUUCUGAGCUCCAUGUGAAUGCCUGCCUUGUAGCCUCCCAAACGCUGAGCUGGCUUUGGCCAUGCGUGCAUCAACCUCAUCAUCUGCAUAUACACCCUUGGAAAGUAUACUGCCAAGGCCAGCCUCCAUCAAGACCCAGCAACCCCAGGUUCUUUUGCUUCACCAAAGUUGCCUUGUUUUGCACCCACAUGUCUGCUGACCUCUGAAUCCACAGGAAAAACGAGACACAAUGUCCACUCUACUAAUUUGAUUGAAAA